CUACAACCAAAGGAGCUGAUCUCGCGAGACUUAAAAGCGACGGUUAAAGGACCGGGUGGCCGGUGGGAUGAGGAUGUCUUCAUCCGAAAAAUCUUGUUUCCUGUAACUUUCCAAACUGACUAUUUUACAGUAGCGAUAUAUCACAUUUGUGACACUUGGACUCAUUGACACAUAGAAAGAAUAAAGAAAAAAGAUUUACUGAGCUAGAGGGCUAA
rnacentral:lncRNA from 1 species